rnacentral:tRNA from 1 species
UCUCUGAGGGUCUUGUGCUUAGGGCUCAGCCCUUUCACUGCUAGGGCCCGGGUUCGAUCCCUGGUCGGAGAA